UCUUGUGGAUGAGCAAAGAAAGUGGUUUCUUGAGAUGGAAUCCACUGCUGAUAAAGAUGCUGUGAA
rnacentral:pre_miRNA from 1 species